rnacentral:rRNA from 1 species
UACGUAGGGCGCGAGCGUUAUCCGGAAUUAUUGGGCGUAAAGAGCUCGUAGGCGGUUUGUCACGUCUGCUGUGAAAACUGGAGGCUCAACCUCCAGCCUGCAGUGGGUACGGGCAGACUAGAGUGUGGUAGGGGAGAUUGGAAUUCCGUGGUGUAGCGGUGGAAUGCGCAGAUAUCUGGAAGAACACCGGUGGCGCAAGCGGAUUGGCUGGGCCAUAACUGACACUGAGGAACGAAAGCUAGGGGAGCGAAUGGG